UUCCGGUUGAUCCUGCCGGACCCCACUGCUAUCGAUGUGGGACUAAGCCAUGCUAGUCGGACGACCCCGGACUAUGGCGGGGGAGUGGCAGACUGCUCAGUAACACGUAGCUAACCUAACCUUGGGACCGGGACAACCCCGGGAAACUGGGGCUAAUCCCCGAUAUGUGUGGAGGCCUGGAAUGGUUCCACGCUCAAAGGUCUAUAUGACCACGUUGCAUGUAGACGCCUAAGGAUGGGGCCGCGCCCGAUCAGGUUGUUGGUGAGGUAACGGCUCACCAAGCCUAUAACCGGUACGGGCCGUGAGAGCGGGAGCCCGGAGAUGGGCACUGAGACAAGGGCCCAGGCCCUACGGGGCGCAGCAGUCGCGAAAACUCCGCAAUGCGCGAAAGCGUGACGGGGCUACCCCGAGUGCCGUCCGCUGAGGAUGGCUUUUCCCCGGUGUAAUGAGCCGGGGGAAUAAGGAGAGGGCAAGUCUGGUGUCAGCCGCCGCGGUAAUACCAGCUCUCCGAGUGGUAGGGACGAUUAUUGGGCUUAAAGCGUUCGUAGCCGGCCCGGCAAGUCUCUCGUCAAAUCCAGCGACCCAAUCGCUGGGCCGCGGGAGAUACUGUCAGGCUUGGGAGCGGGAGAGGCCGACGGUAUUCUCGGGGUAGGGGUGAAAUCCUAUAAUCCCGGGAGGACCACCAGUGGCGAAGGCUGUCGGCUAGAACGCGUCCGACGGUGAGGGACGAAAGCUGGGGGAGCGAACCGGAUUAGAUACCCGGGUAGUCCCAGCUGUAAACGAUGCGGGCUAGGUGUCGGCGUGGCUACGAGCCACUCCGGUGCCGCAGGGAAGCUCAUAAGCCCGCCGCCUGGGAAGUACGGUCGCAAGGCUGAAACUUAAAGGAAUUGGCGGGGGAGCAC
rnacentral:rRNA from 1 species